GGACUAUUUCUAGGCAAUCUAAAAGGAAAUAAACCAAAGCAUUUGGGAUGUUGGUCUCUAAUAGUGCAUCUUCUAUACACCUAAUACCCUCGUCCUGGGGAAUGGAGGUGAAGAGACUUUGAACAUCUAUACUACAAAGUAGAGUCCCCGGUUGUAUGGUUGUAAUUUGAUUAAGUUUAAUCAACAAGUCUGUUGUGUCUUUAAGGCAAGUAGGGAUAUUCAAGACAAGUUUCUGAAGAUGGUAGUCCACAUACUUGGAAAGGGGUUCUAAUACUGACCCUAUACCCGACACUAUUGGUCUCCCUGGAGGGUUGGUAAGUGUCUUGUGUAUUUUUGGCAGGAUAUAUAGCGUAGGGAUCCUUGGGAAAUCAGUACAGAGGUAUUCUUUAGUGGUUUUAUCUAUAAUACCGGUAUCGUGGGCAUCAGAAACCAUUAAAUCAAUCAGCUUUUUAAGUUUGUCUGUGGGGUCUGCAUCUAUAGGGCAGUAGUGGCCCGGGGUCUCCAACUGGCGUUUAAUUUCUAGCAGGUAAUUGGCCUUGUCCAUGAUUACCACUGCCCCUCCCUUAUCGGCUUUUUUAAUAAUAAUAUCAUUAUUAUUUUUCAGGGUGGAGAGCGCCUUUCUUUCAUUCAAGGACAAAUUCGUGUGUUUUCCCCCUAAUGGACGCUCCCAAUUGUUUUUAACCUCUUCAGUAACUGCCUGUACAAAGAAAUUCAGUGCAUCGCUUGAUAUAUCGGGAAUAAAAUUACUUUUCUUUUUUAGACCCGCAGGUCUGAUUGAAGGCUUGGAAUCAGAAAAACACAUUUUAAGUUUAGCAGUGCGUAUAAACUUGAAAAAUUCAAUUUCCCAAUCAAAAAGGUCAGUAUUAUAACAGGGUACAAAACCUAAACCUUUGUUUAACACACGCAAUUCGUUAUUAUUUAAAGCAACAGAGGACAGGUUAACCACCAAGUCAUUUACCUCUUGUUGCUGGUGCCACUGUUCUUUUGGCGCUGAGGGUAAGCUUCCCUUGGGAAGUUAUACGUAGGUAAGACUAUAAGAUCAGUUAAUACCAGAAUCAAAGAGCAUAAAAAUGCAAUUCGCAAUUUUAAAGCAAACACAUAUACAGACACUUCUGUAUCCAGACAUUUUUCUGAGGCAAGGCACAACGUCUGCCAACUAAAGUGGAAAGUAUUGGAAGUUGUUCCUAAAAUGUCCAAAGGGGGUGAUAGAAAUAAUCUGCUACUCCAAAGAGAGUCCCGUUGGAUUAAUCGAUUAGAUAGCACGUACCCCAAAGGAAUGAAUGAACAGCUCAACUUGGCUUGUUUCUUAUAACUUGUUUAUUAUUGUUUACCUUAGUGCUAAUUCACAAUUUACUUUCUUCACAGAUUAUUCUGACAGCCAGUUAGUGGCCGGUUUAACGGAUCUCCUGCCGUAUAAGCAUUGUGGAUGUUCCUACACCAGUGGUUCAAUUUGGACUUCACUACCACACCUGGACACGAUGAACUCUAACUAUAUUGUUUCACCUGUUGCUUAUGUGAAUACUUAAUUGAUUAAUAGGGUCUGCACCCACAAUGCAACCCUUAAGGUGAAAGGUCAUUGUUUGUUUAAAUGUUCCCUUUUGCACUGUUCAUGCACACUUGAUAAAGGGCCUUGCCCGAAACAUGUAGUGUGCUGUUCACUACCCCAAUAAAGAUACACUUGCAGACUCA